rnacentral:rRNA from 1 species
GACGAACGCUGGCGGCGUGCUUAACACAUGCAAGUCGAACGGAAAGGCCCUGCUUGCAGGGUACUCGAGUGGCGAACGGGUGAGUAACACGUGGGUGAUCUGCCCUGCACUUCGGGAUAAGCCUGGGACACUGGGUCUAAUACCGGAUAGGAGCAAUUUUUAGCGUGAUGGUUGGAAAGUUGUUUCGGUGUAGGAUGAGCUCGCGGCCUAUCAGCUUGUUGGUGGGGUAAUGGCCUACCAAGGCGGCGACGGGUAGCCGGCCUGAGAGGGUGGACGGCCACAUUGGGACUGAGAUACGGCCCAGACUCCUACGGGAGGCAGCAGUGGGGAAUAUUGCACAAUGGGCGCAAGCCUGAUGCAGCGACGCCGCGUGGGGGAUGACGGCCUUCGGGUUGUAAACUCCUUUCGCUAGGGACGAAGCUUUUUGUGACGGUACCUAGAUAAGAAGCACCGGCUAACUACGUGCCAGCAGCCGCCGUAA